UACGUAGGGCGCAAGCGUUGUCCGGAAUUAUUGGGCGUAAAGAGCUCGUAGGCGGUUUGUCGCGUCUGCUGUGAAAACUCGGGGCUCAACUCCGAGCUUGCAGUGGGUACGGGCAGACUAGAGUGCGGUAGGGGAGACUGGAAUUCCUGGUGUAGCGGUGGAAUGCGCAGAUAUCAGGAGGAACACCGAUGGCGAAGGCAGGUCUCUGGGCCAUAACUGACGCUGAGAAGCGAAAGCAUGGGGAGCGAACAGG
rnacentral:rRNA from 1 species